AGCGGCGCGCCUAACACAUGCAAGUCGCGCGAGAAAGGGCUUCGGCCCCAGUAAAGCGGCGCACGGGUGAGUAACACGUAGGUCAUCUCCCCCUGAGUGGUGGAUAACUCUCCGAAAGGAGAGCUAAUACAGCAUAAGACCACGACCUCGCUGAGGUUGUGGCCAAAGCAGACCUCUUCAUGAAAGUUUGCGCUUAGGGAUGAGCCUGCGGCCCAUCAGCUAGUUGGUAGGGUAAUGGCCUACCAAGGCUAAGACGGGUAGCUGGUCUGAGAGGAUGAACAGCCACACUGGAACUGAGACACGGUCCAGACUCCUACGGGAGGCAGCAGUGGGGAAUCUUGCGCAAUGGGCGAAAGCCUGACGCAGCGACGCCGCGUGAGCGAUGAAGGCCUUCGGGUUGUAAAGCUCUGUGGGGAGGGAAGAAUAAGGCUUGGCUAAUAUCCAAGUUGAUGACGGUACCUCCUUAGCAAGCACCGGCUAACUCUGUGCCAGCAGCCGCGGUAAGACAGAAGGUGCAAACGUUGUUCGGAAUUACUGGGCGUAAAGCGCGUGUAGGCGG
rnacentral:rRNA from 1 species